rnacentral:rRNA from 1 species
GUUCAGUCGCGGUUCCACGAUUGAACACUGGCAGGAUGCUUUACAUGGGAGUCGAACGGCAGCACGGACUUCGGUCUGGUGGCGAAAAGGAGUGGCGAACUGGUGGAAGUGUCGUAUCGGAACGUGCCUAAAUGGCAGGGAUAACUACAUGAAAGCGUAGCUGUACCAUGUCGGGGAAGCGGGGACAGCACCCAGGCCCUCCUUUCAAUAGAGCAGCCGAUAUCGGAUUAAGCUAGUUGGUGAGGGUAACGGCUCACCAAGGCGACGUCGUAAGCUGGUUUGAGAGGACGACCAACCACACUGGGACUGAGUUUGACUAAAAUACUGCGGGAAACCAGCAGUGAGGAAAUUUUGGGCCAAUGGAAACCUGAUCCAACUAUCCGCGGCUGUGCGGUGAAGGCCUUCGGGUUUAUAAACACUUUUGGCAGGAAAGAAGCGGCCUGGAUAAUGCCCGUGCAACUGACGGCUGCAGAGUGGCACCGGCUAACUACGUGCCAGCGCGGUAAUACAUGCGAUUUUAAAGCGUUAAUCAGGAUUACAGGCGUAAAGCGUGCGCCGACGUUGGAAAAGAAAAAGUCUUAAAUCCGAAACACUUUGGAACUGCAUUUUUCUUCUGGCAUUUAAAGUCAUAUGUCAGAGGAGGUGGAAAUUCCAUGACUGUGGUGAAUGUCGAUAUGGAGGAACACCGUCAACGGUAAGCCUCCUGGGAUAACACCCAGCGCUCAUGCACAAAAGCGUGGGGAGCAAACGGGAUUAGAUACCACCAGUAGUCCACGCCUAACAAUGUCAGCUAGCUGUUGGGGCCUUCGGGCCUUGGUAGCGCAGCUAACGCGUGAAGUUGACCGCCUGGGGAGUACGGUCGCAAGAUUAAAACUCAAAGGAAUUGACGGGGACUGCUAAGCAGUGGAUGAUAUGGUUAAUUCGAUGCAACGCGAAAAACCUUACCUACCCUUGACUUUAUGUCUGGAAUCCCGAAGAAGUUGGGAGUGCCAUAAGAGAACCCGGAACACGAAUUAUGCUGCAUUGCUGUCGCUCGUGUCGUGAGAUGUUGGGUUAAGUCCGCAACAGAGCGCAGCACUUGUCAUUAGUUGCUGAAAGGGCGCUCUAUAUCGAGACUGCCGGUAGUAAACCGGAGGAAGGUGGGGAUGACGUCAGAUCCUCACAAUGCCAUAUGGGUGGACUACACACGUCAUACAAUGGUCAGGACAGAGGGUCGCCAACUUACGAGAAGGUGUCCCGAAACUGAUCGUAGUCCGGAUCGCAAGUCUGCAACUCGACACCAUGGGGAGUCAGAAUCGCUGGUAAUCAUGAAUCAAUAUUGUCGCGGUGAAUACGUUCCCGGGUCUUGUACACACCGCCGUCACACCAUGGGAGUGGGUUUUGCCGAAGUAGUUAGCUAUGCUGCCGGGAGAGCGAUUACGGUAGGAUUCGCGGCUGGGGCGAAGUCGUAACAAA